GGCGGACGGGUGAGUAAUGUCUGGGAAACUGCCUGAUGGAGGGGGAUAACUACUGGAAACGGUAGCUAAUACCGCAUAACGUCGCAAGACCAAAGUGGGGGACCUUCGGGCCUCAUGCCAUCAGAUGUGCCCAGAUGGGAUUAGCUAGUAGGUGGGGUAACGGCUCACCUAGGCGACGAUCCCUAGCUGGUCUGAGAGGAUGACCAGCCACACUGGAACUGAGACACGGUCCAGACUCCUACGGGAGGCAGCAGUGGGGAAUAUUGCACAAUGGGCGCAAGCCUGAUGCAGCCAUGCCGCGUGUGUGAAGAAGGCCUUCGGGUUGUAAAGCACUUUCAGCGGGGAGGAAGGCG
rnacentral:rRNA from 1 species